rnacentral:rRNA from 1 species
GACGGUAUUAUAUGAAUAAGCACCGGCUAACUCCGUGCCAGCAGCCGCGGUAAUACGGGGGGUGCAAGCGUUACUCGGAAUCACUGGGCGUAAAGAGCAUGUAGGCGGAUUAAUAAGUUUGAAGUGAAAUCCUAUAGCUUAACUAUAGAACUGCUUUGAAAACUGUUAAUCUAGAAUGUGGGAGAGGUAGAUGGAAUUUCUGGUGUAGGGGUAAAAUCCGUAGAGAUCAGAAGGAAUACCGAUUGCGAAGGCGAUCUACUGGAACAUUAUUGACGCUGAGAUGCGAAAGCGUGGGGAGCAAACAGGAUUAGAUACCCUGGUAGUCCACGCCCUAAACGAUGUACACUAGUUGUUGUGAGACUUGAUCUUGCAGUAAUGCAGUUAACACAUUAAGUGUACCGCCUGGGGAGUACGGUCGCAAGAUUAAAACUCAAAGGAAUAGACGGGGACCCGCACAAGCGGUGGAGCAUGUGGUUUAAUUCGACGAUACACGAAGAACCUUACCUGGACUUGACAUAGUAAGAACUUUCUAGAGAUAGAUUGGUGUCUGCUUGCAGAAACUUAUAUACAGGUGCUGCACGGCUGUCGUCAGCUCGUGUCGUGAGAUGUUGGGUUAAGUCCCGCAACGAGCGCAACCCUCGUGUUUAGUUGCUAACAGUUCGGCUGAGAACUCUAAACAGACUGCCUACGCAAGUAGGAGGAAGGUGAGGACGACGUCAAGUCAUCAUGGCCCUUACGUCCAGGGCGACACA